AUCCACCUCACAUCACCACCCAUCUCCUCUUCCUAUCUAUCCACUCGCUGCCCGUGCUCCGGAUCAGGCCGAUCCCGCGCCACUCAUCCUCGCGCGCCAGCGUCUCGGCCAGCGGCGGCACACCUCCGGGCUACUACGCCACACAUCCAGCCUAGCAUCCACCGCCGGCCGAUGUGAAGCCAGUCGCUGACACGCGCCGUUGCAGACCACCAGAUCCGGAGUGCCGCCGCUGGAUCCUGUCCGCGUCACGCCACGCCGUUGCAGACCACCAGAUACGGAGUGCCGCCACUGGAUCCUGUCCGCAUCACGCCCGUGUCAAUGGCGGCCAUCGGAACACCCUCUCCUUCUCGAGGACUCCGGUUCUCUUCGUUGCCUUCCCAUCAGAUGGGUUGUUUCUUUUUUUGCCUCUGAUUCUCGUGAGAAUCUGAGGGACUCGCCCGCGGAUCUUUAUUCACUCCUCAUUGUUCUCUCCCAUGUAUUUGCAGUAUGUUCGUUGUUUUUUGAGAAGUCUGAUUGAUAUUACGGAUAAUCUGCAAUUGUAUAUAAACUAAUGAGAAUCAGUUCAGAGGAGCGAUGUGGGACAAAAAAUCGAAUGUAAACGCACGACCAGACAGAGUUUGCGUGCG